UUCGCAGCGCGUGUUUCAGGACGAUGUUCGGGAAGCUCACGCCCUUGAGGCGCGCGGUGCGGAUAUAUUGCGCGGUCAUCACCUCUGUCAUCGAGGCCCGCGUCAUCCGGGCGAUGUACCCCAUGCCGUAGAGCGCGAUGGUCACGACCGGCAGGGUGAAGUUCUCGAAGGUGAUGCCG
rnacentral:ncRNA from 1 species